ensembl:lncRNA
AUUAAGUUGACUGACUUAUGUACUUAUAAGAAACAUCUAGUCAGUAGGAUGUCUGUUGGGGAACCAUCAAAAUAAAGUGUAAGCAAAUAAUAAGUAAACCGUUUCCUAUACUCUAAUGACUGCUAGUUGACAUGUAGUUGUAAAGCUUAUAGUUAAUACAAUAUCUAAAGUGUGCUAUCAAAAUAAAGUGUUACCUUAGAAGAGAGUCAAGAGAGAGUUCAUGAUUUUUUUAACUGACCGAGAAGUCAGUUUGUAUUUCUUGUUUAUUUAAUUAGUUUUAAUGUGCUUUGUUGGGGACAUUUAAUUUGAAACUGCUUAGUAAAGGCACUGGUUUGGAUGGAGACUUUUAUUAUGGAAAAGUGCAUAGUCUGUCCAUCUGUCAGGAAGACAGAUAUCUGCACCAUACAGAAAGUUAAAGUGUGUUUACAUUCUGAUGUUUACAUUCUAUUCAUCUGAUGUUAAAAGGGACAUCAGAUGCAAGAUUAAGUUCUCCUUUUGGUAACAAGCAGCCAAUGAAGUAAAUUUUUCCAUUAUACUUUAUGUGAUUGUUGUGCAUUGUGUUGCUGUGUGGAAGACAACAAUAUCUGUUCAAAUACUAUAGUUAAGCGGUUGAAGUGAACUUAACUCUGUUUAAAAUGUUCACAAAGGCAACAUUUAUUAUUUUAUGUUUUCAUGUGUUUAUAUUCUUUGUUUUUACUUUUUAUUUGUGCAUUUAGUUCUCACGGCAUCUUGAGUUGGUUGGUUAUGAACCAGUCAAUAAAUCGUGAUCAGAGAAUCUUUGUGCUCGUGAAAUUGCUGGGGGGAGCAACAAUUUUCUUUCUUCUGACAGAAUCCUCAUUUUUGGGUGAACUCCUUUAAGUACUUACAAUUCAAGAAGUGUGGAUCACUUCCAGGAUUCUUGAAAUCAAAUAUGUAAUUUACAGGGUUGGGCAGUAAUGCUGUAAUGAUCCAGAACUCGACAUGGGAUCCAUAUGCAGGCUUUAUUGCAGAAACUCGUAGUUGUACAGGCAAUGGUCAAAACCAGCAAUAUCAGCAA